UACGGAGGGGGCUAGCGUUGUUCGGAAUUACUGGGCGUAAAGCGCACGUAGGCGGCUUUGUAAGUUAGAGGUGAAAGCCCGGGGCUCAACUCCGGAAUUGCCUUUAAGACUGCAUCGCUAGAAUUGUGGAGAGGUAAGUGGAAUUCCGAGUGUAGAGGUGAGAUUCGUAGAUAUUCGGAAGAACACCAGUGGCGAAGGCGACUUACUGGACACAUAUUGACGCUGAGGUGCGAAAGCGUGGGGAGCAAACAGG
rnacentral:rRNA from 1 species